GAAGGGGGCUAGCGUUGCUCGGAAUCACUGGGCGUAAAGGGUGCGUAGGCGGGUCUUUAAGUCAGGGGUGAAAUCCUGGAGCUCAACUCCAGAACUGCCUUUGAUACUGAAGAUCUUGAGUUCGGGAGAGGUGAGUGGAACUGCGAGUGUAGAGGUGAAAUUCGUAGAUAUUCGCAAGAACACCAGUGGCGAAGGCGGCUCACUGGCCCGAUACUGACGCUGAGGCACGAAAGCGUGGGGGGAGCAAACAGGAUUAGAUACCCUGGUAGUCCACGCCGUAAACGAUGAAUGCCCAGCCGUUAGUGGGUUUACUCACUAGUGGCGCAGCUAACGCUUUAAGCAUUCCGCCUGGGAGUACGGUCGCAAGAUUA
rnacentral:rRNA from 1 species